rnacentral:rRNA from 1 species
CGACUGGGGCGAGCCUGAUGCAGCGACGCCGCGUGAGGGAUGACGGCCUUCGGGUUGUAAACCUCUUUCAGCAGGGACGAAGCGCAAGUGACGGUACCUGCAGAAGAAGCACCGGCUAACUACGUGCCAGCAGCCGCGGUAAUACGUAGGGUGCAAGCGUUGUCCGGAAUUAUUGGGCGUAAAGAGUUCGUAGGCGGUUUGUCGCGUCGUUUGUGAAAACCAGCAGCUCAACUGCUGGCUUGCAGGCGAUACGGGCAGACUUGAGUACUGCAGGGGAGACUGGAAUUCCUGGUGUAGCGGUGAAAUGCGCAGAUAUCAGGAGGAACACCGGUGGCGAAGGCGGGUCUCUGGGCAGUAACUGACGCUGAGGAACGAAAGCGUGGGUAGCGAACAGGAUUAGAUACCCUGGUAGUCCACGCCGUAAACGGUGGGCGCUAGGUGUGGGUUCCUUCCACGGAAUCCGUGCCGUAACUAACGCAUUAAGCGCCCCGCCUGGGGAGUACGGCCGCAAGGGUAAAACUCCAG